AUACGUAGGGGGCGAGCGUUGUCCGGAAUGAUUGGGCGUAAAGGGCGUGUAGGCGGCCUGUUAAGUCUGAAGUGAAAGUCCUGUUUUCAAGAUGGGAAUUGCUUUGGAUACUGGCGGGGUUGAGUGCAGGAGAGGUUAUCGGAAUUUCCGGUGUAGCGGGGAAAAGCGUAGAGAUCGGGAGGAACACCAGUGGCGAAGGCGGGUAACUGGACUGCAACUGACGCUGAGGCGCGAAAGUGUGGGGAGCAAACAGGAUUAGAUACCCUGGUAGUCCACACUGUAAACGAUGAAUGCUAGGUGUAAGAGGUAUCGACCCCUUUUGUGCCGGAGUCAACACAAUAAGCAUUCCGCCUGGGGAGUACGGCCGCAAGGUUGAAACUCAAAGGAAUUGACGGGG
rnacentral:rRNA from 1 species